rnacentral:rRNA from 1 species
AACGAACGCUGGCGGCAUGCCUAACACAUGCAAGUCGAACGAGACCUUCGGGUCUAGUGGCGCACGGGUGCGUAACGCGUGGGAACCUGCCCUUAGGUUCGGAAUAACUCCCCGAAAGGGGUGCUAAUACCGGAUAAUGUCUUCGGACCAAAGAUUUAUCGCCUUUGGAUGGGCCCGCGUUGGAUUAGCUAGUUGGUAGGGUAAAAGCCUACCAAGGCGACGAUCCAUAGCUGGUCUGAGAGGAUGAUCAGCCACACUGGGACUGAGACACGGCACAGACUCCUACGGGAGGCAGCAGUGGGGAAUAUUGGACAAUGGGCGAAAGCCUGAUCCAGCAAUGCCGCGUGAAUGAUGAAGGACUUAGGGUUGUAAAGCUCUUUUACCCGGGAUGAUAAUGACAGUACCGGGAGAAUAAGCUCCGGCUAACUCCGUG